ensembl:lncRNA
CGAGGGUGCUUUUCGCUCAUCAUUCAGAGUCCAUUCUAUAGCUGCAUCGCUGCAGAGAAAGGUCGGGAAGCCUGUCUGAGGAGACGCCAUUCCAGCCCGGAUGGAGAGAAGGGAGGAAUGAGCUGUGCAGAUAAAUGACGCAAGAGUGUUCUCUGCCAGAAGGACGGACCGGUAAAGGGUCUGAAAUGGGAGAGCUGGAAACCAAGGCCAACGAUGGCAGACCUCAACCGAAUCAGUUACGAAGAGGCCAGCUGGAAAACCACACUGGGGAGAGUUCUUCCAGAGGAGAGCAGCCUGACGUUUUUCAUCUAAAUCCUUAGUCCUCACUCCAGCCUACAAGGCGGCAGGAAACUCGCAGCCAUAAUCGACUGGUUCUUUUAAAGUGUGUGUGUGUGUGUGUGUGUGUGUGUGUGUGUGUGUGUAAAACACAGGCACUCUGCCCAGGAGAACCUAGAGAGAAAGAAAUCCUCUCUCCUGACACUGUCUGAAGUUUGCUGCCAGGGAUUCAGUACAUACCUGACCAAAAAAAGAAAAUCUCCUACCUAACUGGUUUGACUGUUUCCCAGCUACUACCUGGAGAAGUAAACAGAACCUUAUCAUUCUCAGGAAGUGGCGAGCUGAGCUCUGAGAGUCUUUCUGCUCCGAUGACAUAAACAAACUGUAGAGGAAGUCAAGUCAAACUUUCCCUCGCUGCUUUUGUUCUCCCAACCAGCGAUUCAGAAAACAGAGCCAACUUUUUUUUUUUGGAUGACUUUUAAAGAUUGCUCUUCACUGGAGAGGCAGAAACUCUCUCUUUUUUUUUUAAACCAAGACACUCAACUUACUUUUUUCAAAAAAGAAUUGCCCUAGAAGGUUUGGUUUUUCUUUUUUUUUAAUAAGGCUGUUUUCGAGACUUUUCAAAACAAAUGUCUCCCUUGACAUUGCAGUUACCUAAUGGUUGUUCUUUCCUUCAAGUUUCAACCAAAAGAGCAUUAAUGAGCUCUGUGUGGACAAUGGCUGGACUUGAUUAGAGGCCCUUGGUGCCCUGAUUUACAGCCAAGGGGAGCAAACAGUCAUGAUUCAAUCAGGUGCCCAUACAAGGCACACCGCAGAGAGAAACGAGACGACUUAUCUGCAGAAUCUGCAGAUACUGCUUGAAAAAAUCACACGUAAGAAGGCCUUCUCGCCGUGGAAGCUACUUGAAGGCCUUAUCACCAGCUUGGAAGAUGGCAUCUCUGGGUCUCACUCCUGGUUCUGAGAGAGGCCAUUUCCAAACCAGAGGUACCUGACAGCCCCGGGCGAACGCUCACCACCCGUCCUAGUCAACUGAUGAAAGAAGCUCCACGCCGCGUGAGCGAAGAGAGGCAGGACGGUAGGGAGCGCACAAGUAUCUGCAGGGGGGCUUCCCACACUGGUGUUCUGGCAUGUUAAUCCUGGUGCAAGAAGUAAGAUUUGACAUCACGUGGAUAUCUGUAUGCCACUCCUGCUCAUCCUUGGCUGGCGCUCCGUGUACACAGGGCAUCUUCCGGACCCAGGGAUUGAACCUGUGUCUCAAGUCUCCUGCAUUGCCAAGUGAAUUCUGUACCACCAGCACCACGUGAGAAGGAAGUAAACCCCCACACUCGACAAAUAGCAACCGUGUGUGUGAAGACACACAGGAGGGCAACGGUUGGUGCGUCUCCCACUCAUCAGUUCACCUCUUAUUAUACUUGAUGCAACCUGACCUUGGAAUUCUGGUGCACGCUCUGUCCAAGUAUAAGUGGG